CAGGCAGCGGAGCGUUUUGGGGUGGGGUGACUGCGUACCUUUUGUAUAAUGGGUCAGCGACUUAUAUUCUGUAGCAAGGUUAACCGAAUAGGGGAGCCGCAGGGAAACCGAGUCUUAACUGGGCGUUAAGUUGCAGGGUAUAGACCCGAAACCCGGUGAUCUAGCCAUGGGCAGGUUGAAGGUUGGGUAACACUAACUGGAGGACCGAACCGACUAAUGUUGAAAAAUUAGCGGAUGACUUGUGGCUGGGGGUGAAAGGCCAAUCAAACCGGGAGAUAGCUGGUUCUCCCCGAAAGCUAUUUAGGUAGCGCCUCGUGAAUUCAUCUUCGGGGGUAGAGCACUGUUUCGGCUAGGGGGUCAUCCCGACUUACCAACCCGAUGCAAACUACGAAUACCGAAGAAUGUUAUCACGGGAGACACACGGCGGGUGCUAACGUCCGUCGUGAAGAGGGAAACAACCCAGACCGCCAGCUAAGGUCCCAAAGUCAUGGUUAAGUGGGAAACGAUGUGGGAAGGCCCAGACAGCCAGGAUGUUGGCUUAGAAGCAGCCAUCAUUUAAAGAAAGCGUAAUAGCUCACUGGUCGAGUCGGCCUGCGCGGAAGAUGUAACGGGGCUAAACCAUGCACCGAAGCUGCGGCAGCGACACUAUGUGUUGUUGGGUAGGGGAGCGUUCUGUAAGCCGUUGAAGGUGGCCUGUGAGGGUUGCUGGAGGUAUCAGAAGUGCGAAUGCUGACAUAAGUAACGAUAAUGCGGGUGAAAAACCCGCACGCCGGAAGACCAAGGGUUCCUGUCCAACGUUAAUCGGGGCAGGGUGAGUCGACCCCUAAGGCGAGGCCGAAAGGCGUAGUCGAUGGGAAACAGGUUAAUAUUCCUGUACUUGGUGUUACUGCGAAGGGGGGACGGAGAAGGCUAUGUUGGCCGGGCGACGGUUGUCCCGGUUUAAGCAUGUAGGCGGAUG
rnacentral:rRNA from 1 species